AACGAACGCUGGCGGCAGGCCUAACACAUGCAAGUCGAACGGUUGUAGCAAUACCGCCGUGGCGCACGGGUGAGUAACGCGUGGGAAUCUGCCCAGUAGUACGGAAUAACAGUUGGAAACGACUGACAAUACCGUAUACGCCCUUCGGGGGAAAGAUUUAUCGCUAUUGGAUGAGCCCGCGUCAGAUUAGCUAGUUGGUGGGGUAAUGGCCUACCAAGGCGACGAUCUGUAGCUGUUCUGAGAGGAAGACCAGCCACACUGGAACUGAGACACGGUCCAGACUCCUACGGGAGGCAGCAGUGGGGAAUAUUGGACAAUGGGCGAAAGCCUGAUCCAGCCAUGCCGCGUGAGUGAUGAAGGCCUUAGGGUUGUAAAGCUCUUUUGGCGGGGAAGAUAAUGACGGUACCCGCAGAAUAAGUUCCGGCUAACUUCGUGCCAGCAGCCGCGGUAAUAC
rnacentral:rRNA from 1 species